UCAAGCGCAAAAGGGCUUGCGGUGGAUUCCUUGGCGUCAAUGGGCGAUGAAGGGCGUAGCAAGCUGCGAUAAGCUUCGGGGAGCCGCUAACAGGCGUUGAUCCGGAGAUUCCCGAAUGGGGCAACCCUGCACAGGUCAUACUGUGUAAUCUUCGACUGAAUACAUAGGUCGUUGAGGCUAACCAGGGGAAUUGAAACAUCUUAGUACCCUGAGGAAUAGAAAACAAAAGUGAUUCCCCUAGUAGUGGCGAACGAACGGGGAACAGCCUAAACCAAGUGUUACGUUAAAACCCGUGGGUGUUGUACGCUUGGGGUUGUGGGUCUCGAUUUGGCGGAACUACGGAUCUGCCGGAAUGUUACAAAAACAUACUUUAGUUUAGCAGGCUGGAAAGUCUGGCCAUAGAUGGUGAUAGCCCAGUGAGCGAAAAGGUAUGUUCAUUCUUGAUUGAGUACCCAAGUACUACGGGACACGAGAAAUCUUGUAGGAAUCUGGGAGGACCACCUCUCAAGGCUAAAUACCAUUGACGACCGAUAGUGAACUAGUACCGUGAGGGAAAGGUGAAAAGCACCCCGGUGAGGGGAGUGAAAUAGUAUAUGAAACCGCGAGCCUACAAGCAGUGGGAGCACUAUACUCUUGCUUCGGCAAGGGAAUGUGUGACCGCAUACCUUUUGCAUAAUGAGCCGCCGAGUUACUUUACUUAGCAAGGUUAAGCCGUUAGGUGUAGCCGUAGCGAAAGCGAGUCUGAAUAGGGCGUUUAGUUAAGUGGAGUAGACCCGAAGCCGGGUGAUCUACCCAUGUCCAGGGUGAAGCGUAGGUAACACUACGUGGAGGCCCGAACCAGUAGACGUUGAAAAGUCUUUGGAUGAGGUGUGGGUAGGGGUGAAAGGCUAAUCAAACCCGGCAAUAGCUGGUUCUCCCCGAAAUAGUUUUAGGACUAGCCUUGUAUAAUAGUAAACGGAGGUAGGGCGCUGGAUGGACUAGGGGCCUCACCAGGUUACCAAACCCAACCAAUCUUCGAAUUCCGUUUACCGUAUUACAGGAGUCAGACUGCGGGUGAUAAGGUCCGUAGUCGAGAGGGAAAGAGCCCAGACCACCAGCUAAGGUCCCUAAGAUAGACUAAGUGGGAAAGGUUGUGGAGGUUGGCUUAGAAGCAGCAAUCCUUUAAAGAAAGCGUAAUAGCUCACUGAUCAAGUGUACCUGCGCCGAAAAUUUAACGGGGCUAAGUUUAUCACCGAAGCUGUGGAUUGGAGAUAACUUCGGUUAUCUCUUCUGGUAGGGGAGCGUUCCAUACUGGGCUGAAGCUCGAUCGUAAGAACGGGUGGACUGUAUGGAAGUGAGUAUGGCGGCAUGAGUAACGAUAAAACAGGUGAGAAACCUGUUCGCCGAAAAUCCAAGGGUUCCUGAGGAAGGUUAAUCCACUCAGGGUAAGUCGACCCCUAAGGCGAGGCCGAAAGGCGUAGCUGAUGGGAAGCGGGUUAAUAUUCCCGUACCACUUGAAUCGCGUUAUUAGCGAUGGGGUAACGUAGAAGGGUAAUUUAUCCGGGUGUUGGACGUCCCGGUUCAAGCAUGUAGGAGGGUGAUUUUGGCAAAUCCGGAUCACCAUUAACUCUGAGGUGUGAUGAGGAGCUUCUCCUUCGGGACAAGCGAACUAAAUGAUCCCAUGCUACCGAGAAAAACCUCUAGUGAGCUAUUCAGGUGAUCGUACCCUAAACCGACACGGGUAGAUGAGUAGAGAAUACUAAGGCGCUUGAGAGAACUCUGGUUAAGGAACUCGGCAAAUUAGCUCCGUAACUUCGGGAUAAGGAGUGCCCUCAUAAGGUGAAAGAACUUGCUUCUGGAGCUGAAGGGGGUUGCAGUGACCAGGUAGCCGCGACUGUUUACUAAAAACACAGGACUCUGCUAAGUCGUAAGACGACGUAUAGGGUCUGACGCCUGCCCGGUGCCGGAAGGUUAAAAGGAGGGGUUAACCCUUGGGUGAAGCUCCGAAUUGAAGCCCCGGUAAACGGCGGCCGUAACUAUAACGGUCCUAAGGUAGCGAAAUUCCUCCGACCUGCACGAAUGGCGUAACGAUGGCUACACUGUCUCAACCAGGGACUCAGUGAAAUUGACAUACCGGUGAAGAUGCCGGUUUCCCGCAGAAGGACGGAAAGACCCCGUGCACCUUUACUACAGCUUGAUAUUGGAUAUUGGUUUAGUAUGUGUAGGAUAGGUGGGAGACUUUGAAACUUUGGCGCUAGCCAGAGUGGAGUCAAUCUUGAAAUACCACCCUUAUUACACUGAUAUUCUAACCUCGGUUCCGUGAAUCCGGGCCAGGGACAAUGUCAGGUGGGUAGUUUGACUGGGGCGGUCGCCUCCUAAAAUGUAACGGAGGCGCGCGAAGGUUCCCUCAGGCUGAUUGGAAACCAGCCGACGAGUGUAAAGGCAUAAGGGAGCUUGACUGCAAGACUUACAAGUCGAGCAGGUGCGAAAGCAGGUCUUAGUGAUCCGGUGGUUCCAUGUGGAAGGGCCAUCGCUCAACGGAUAAAAGGUACGCCGGGGAUAACAGGCUUAUCGCCUCCAAGAGUCCAUAUCGACGAGGCGGUUUGGCACCUCGAUGUCGGCUCACCGCAUCCUGGGGCUGAAGCAGGUCCCAAGGGUUGGUCUGUUCGCCCAUUAAAGCGGUACGCG
rnacentral:rRNA from 1 species